UAAAAGUCAUUCAGACUGAAAGUCUACAUUUGGCUUUAUGUACAAAAAAAUCCAGAAAAAACUGACAAUCUCCUUUCUAUUUUGUUUCCUUAUAUUUGCUGCUGGGAGUGGGAUUGACUAGAUAAUGCAAUUGGAAGGGGAGAGGCAGGCAAUAACUGAAUAUAAGAGAGCAAGGAAGAAGACAAGAGUGGCAAAUCCUGCAAGUAAGAAAAGACAGUGAAGAUAGCCAGAAUUUGGAGCCCUGGGAGCAUAGAUGAUGACUGGCAGAUGAUUGCAAUUGAGAACAGAAGACCAGAAGACUUUCAGCCAGAAAGAACAGAGUGGGGAAGGCCUGAGAAUCACACCAGGAAGAGGCAGGUCUAUGUGAAUGAGGACUCCCUACUAAAAAGAACGGAGGGGCCUGUCACCAAAGUGAUCCAGAGAAUAGAAGGGUGUUUUGUCUGCUGGAAGCUAAGAUACAGGAUGUGGACCUGAGCUGGAAGAGGAUCCUAAUGGGAGUAGGAAAGAAUUCAAUUGAUUAUCCUUCACGUGGAAAAAAAUGAUACUGCUAGAUUUUCAUUGGGAUGCAUCAAGGAAGACUACUCCAGGAAGAAAUGGAAGCUCAGGUGAUCUUCAGUGGGAUUCUACUAGAGGAGGCGAGCAAAGGUGAGACAAGAUUAUGAUGGUCAACAGAUGUCUCAUGCAAUGGUGCUAGAUAGAGGCCUCUGGAAUGUUUGACUGCUGGGAGGCAUUCAUGGACAGAAGACUAUUCUCAUGGAUGAACUCCACCUGAAUAAGGAGGGAAUAGACUUCUGCAAUGAAGAAAACUCAUCACGCUCUAAAUAUCAAGCAUAUGGGAAAGGCGAGAAAAGGGAUAGAUACAGGAGUAUACCUACAAAAGAUUCCUUCAGGUAUCAGAAAUGCAAGUAACAAAAUACCAUGCAAGACACUGUUCUCUUAUCAAAGAGGUUAGGUUAAAUGUCCAAGCAUUUAACUGAUACAUCUUCGGAACUGUGGAACACAUUGGGGAACAAUUAAUUACCUCAGCCUUCUAAAUCCAAGAGGCAAAAUUACUGACAAGGCUUGUUAAUAAAUUUACAAGAGUGAUGUUAGAACUUUGAGCAAAAGUCCUCUGAAAACAUAUGUUUGGAGAAGAUAAGGAAAUACUGAUAUUGGGGUCAGGUCACAUUGCACCUCAUAACUUCCCUAUUCAAAUAUGCUGAAUCAUGUUACUGAAAUAUGAAGAAUUGCUGAAUGUUAAAAAUAAGAGUUUUGUUAGUUUAAUGUAAUAGUUUAUAAAUAUGGAUAGUUAUGAUGGGUACGGCUUAUGUCCAGGCCCUAGGCUAGCUUCUGCCUGGCACAAGUGUUGUCUUGCUAAUCUCUUUCUCUUACAUAAACUUGUUUAGGUAAUAUUUAUUGCUGACAGAACAAAGGUGAUGGUUAGUUAUUGUCCUGGAGCAUUUAGAUACCAGCUAGUAUAAUAAACACACAAAACAUCAUGGUAAAAGCCUCUAUCUUGGGAAAAUCAGGUGUACAGUGACAAAGACAUAAUGGCAUCAAAACAGUGUAGACAGUGAAAGUUAUGGCAGGUUUCAGAGUAGACUCGAGUGUACAUAUUGUACAGGUUAUGUAAGACACAAUGCUUAGUGUUGAUUGAGGAAAACUAUUGAAUAUAUAAGGUGAAAACAUAUAAGAAACAAGUGAACAAGAGCCCAAGUCGGAGAAAUACCAGACCAGAUACUGAAGAAAUGAGACUGAAGGACCAUACCAGAAAGGGAUUGAGAGCAUAGGUGUCGACUUGUAGGUGCUCCAUCCCUGGAGCACCCACAGGAAAAAAAGAAUGGGUGACCAGCACCCAUUGGCAGUCCCACGGAUCAGUGCCUUCCCCUCCCCCCCGCAGCACCUCCAA